CCAUUAUGAGAUCCUGAUCAUUCCCACCAUGAGAUCCUGGUUGGUCCCACCACGAGGUCCUGGUCCCUCCCACCAUGGGGAUCUGGCCAUUUCCACCAUGAGGUCCUGGUCAUUCCCACCAUGGGAUCUUGGCCAUUUCCACCACAACGUCCUGGUCAUUCCCACCACGAGGUCCAGGUUGAUCCCACCAUGAGAUCCUGGUCCGUCCCACCACAAGGUCCUGGUCAUUCCCACCAUGAAAUCCUGGCCAUUCCCACCAUGAGGUCCUGGUUGG